rnacentral:rRNA from 1 species
GACGUAGGGCGCGAGCGUUUGUCCGGAUUUAUUGGGCGUAAAGAGCUCGUAGGCGGCUUGUCGCGUCGUCCGUGAAAACCUGCGGCUCAACUGCAGGCUGGCGGUCGAUACGGGCAGGCUGGAGUUCGGUAGGGGAGACUGGAAUUCCUGGUGUAGCGGUGAAAUGCGCAGAUAUCUGGAGGAAUACCGGUGGCGAAGGCGGCAUCCUGGACCGAGAUUGACACUGAUGAGCGGAAAGCUAGGGGAGCAAACGGG